UUAUAGUGGCACAAUGGUUUGAGUAUUGGACUAUGACUCUGGAGACCAGGGUUCGAUUCCCAGCUUGGGAA
rnacentral:tRNA from 1 species